UACGUAGGGGGCAAGCGUUGUCCGGAUUUAUUGGGCGUAAAGAGCGUGUAGGCGGUUUGGUAGGUCCGCUGUGAAAACUCGAGGCUCAACCUCGAGACGCCGGUGGAAACCAUCAGGCUAGAGUCCGGAAGAGGAGAGUGGAAUUCCUGGUGUAGCGGUGAAAUGCGCAGAUAUCAGGAGGAACACCAAUGGCGAAGGCAGCUCACUGGGACGGUAUUGACGCUGAGACGCGAAAGCGUGGGGAGCAAACAGG
rnacentral:rRNA from 1 species